UACGGAGGGGGCUAGCGUUGUUCGGAAUUACUGGGCGUAAAGCGCACGUAGGCGGCUUUGUAAGUUAGAUGGUGAAAGCCUGGGGGCUCAACUCCAGAACUGCCUUUAAGACUGCAUCGCUUGAAUCAUGGAGAGGCGGGUGGAAUUCCGAGUGUAGAGGUGAAAUUCGUGAGAUAUUCGGAAGAACACCAGUGGCGAAGGCGGCCCGCUGGACAUGUAUUGACGCUUGAGG
rnacentral:rRNA from 1 species